AAGAUCCUUCUGGGAGGGACCCUGGUGAAACCGAGAAAUGAGUGGGUGCCUGUCAGCACCAGAGCUGGAGCUCAACAAGAAGGGUAUUUCUGCAGCAGUCUUGCGCCCACUUUCAACACUUGAACAUCCCCUCGGAGAGGAGUCUCAGCUCUCUCCAAUCAAACUCACGCUGAUUACUGCACGCUGAUUACUGCCGCAGUCCUUCAGCUGCUUCUCUAGCUGCUGAAGGGGAGCGCCCUCUGCCCAGGAGCUUCAGAUUCUUCUCCCAAGGAACUGAAGGGACCUGCAAAGGGAAGCUCGCUCACCAACAGAGGGCUUGAUCCCACGACCACAUAGAGGAGUUUUUAUUCACAGUAUUGACUCAGAGAGUUGGGGAAGGAGCUCUGAGGUAGAGCCCCAAGUUUGAUUCCCCACACUGCAAAAAUAAACACAUAUCUAAGC
rnacentral:lncRNA from 1 species